rnacentral:rRNA from 1 species
GGCGCAUUAGCUAGUUGGUGGGGUAAAGGCUUACCAAGGCAAUGAUGCGUAGCCGAACUGAGAGGUUGAUCGGCCACAUUGGGACUGAGACACGGCCCAAACUCCUACGGGAGGCAGCAGUAGGGAAUCUUCCACAAUGGGCGAAAGCCUGAUGGAGCAACGCCGCGUGGGUGAAGAAGGUCUUCGGAUCGUAAAACCCUGUUGUUAGAGAAGAAAGUGCGUGAGAGUAACUGUUCACGUUUCGACGGUAUCUAACCAGAAAGCCACGGCUAACUACGUGCCAGCAGCCGCGGUAAUACGUAGGUGGCAAGCGUUAUCCGGAUUUAUUGGGCGUAAAGGGAACGCAGGCGGUCUUUUAAGUCUGAUGUGAAAGCCUUCGGCUUGACCGGAGUAGUGCAUUGGAAACUGGGAGACUUGAGUGCAGAAGAGGAGAGUGGAACUCCAUGUGUAGCGGUGAAAUGCGUAGAUAUAUGGAAGAACACCAGUGGCGAAAGCGGCUCUCUGGUCUGUAACUGACGCUGAGGUUCGAAAGCGUGGGUAGCAAACAGGAUUAGAUACCCUGGUAGUCCACGCCGUAAACGAUGAAUGCUAAGUGUUGGAGGGUUUCCGCCCUUCA